rnacentral:rRNA from 1 species
GACGAACGCUGGCGGCGUGCUUAACACAUGCAAGUCGAACGGAAAGGCCUCUUUCGGGGGGUACUCGAGUGGCGAACGGGUGAGUAACACGUGAGUAACCUGCCCUUGACUUUGGGAUAACUUCAGGAAACUGGGGCUAAUACCGGAUAGGAGCUCCUGCUGCAUGGUGGGGGUUGGAAAGUUUCGGCGGUUGGGGAUGGACUCGCGGCUUAUCAGCUUGUUGGUGGGGUAGUGGCUUACCAAGGCUUUGACGGGUAGCCGGCCUGAGAGGGUGACCGGCCACAUUGGGACUGAGAUACGGCCCAGACGCCUAAGGGAGGCAGCAGUGGGGAAUAUUGCACAAUGGGUGGAAGCCUGAUGCAGCAACGCCGUGUGCGGGAUGACGGCCUUCGGGUUGUAAACCGCUUUCGCUCAUGACGAAGCUUUGUGUGACGGUAGUGGGUAAAGAAGCACCGGCUAACUACGUG